UGUGAUAAGAAAUAAUUAACAAACAUUAGUGUUCGUUUAACAAACCACUGUCCUAAUCCACCUCAAUGCUGUGAAGCUCUGUUUGCGCAUGGAAUUAAAAACUCAAACACAAAUAUAUAUGGCGGAAAAUGGCACACUUUCUUGUUAAAGUGGCCUUUGUAGUUUAUUUUGCAUGAUAAUGAAUUCUUUUAUAAUUCCAGAUUAGAUAAAGGAAUGUAAAUAUAUGUAAACCGCAAAGGUGAGCGGCCCAAAUUCAGCCAAAAUGACAACUGUCAUCCGCCACCCAAGCAGCACUGAGGUAGAUUAGGCCUUUUUUUUAUUUUUUAUUUUUUUUUUAAACUAAAAAGUAAAAAUAAAUAAAUAAAAAGUUUCUGAGGUAGGAGUAUACACCCCUCUUUGUUGACAUAAACAUCUUUAUAUAUACAUUCUAUAACUAUACUAAAGUAAAGACCAGACAGGGACCCACGCGCCUGCCAAGUCUGCAUAGUACAUGACUAAGGACUCAUGCGCCUACCAAGUUCAUAAGUCUGACUAGACUGAUAAAAUUGUCACAAACAUAGAUAUAUAUGACAGGGACCCACGCGCCUGCCAAGUUUAUAAAGUCUGACUAGACUGAUAAAAAUGUCACAAACAUGGAUAUAUAUGACAGGGACCCACGCGCCUGCCAAAGAUCCAUAUAUGCCUUGGGCGAAGUGUACAAUGUUUGAGUAGCUGAGAAAAAUGUAAAACCACAAACAUAUGCUGUCAGGGACAAAUAUCAUAGGAGUCUCACCAUAUGUUGACCCGAAACACAAAUAUAAGCAAGACUUAAAAUAAACUCAAAUAUAACCAAUACUAAUAAUCAGUACAGAGUAAUGAUUACAGGGACCCACGCGCCUGUGUCAAAACCCUGUGCUAAUUUUACAAACAUUUGAAAAUUGGGUUAGAAUGUCAAGAGCUCAGGGAAGAUUGUUUGAUAAUGGCUGAGCUCUUAUGUAUUUCUUGAAUGCAUCAGACUUCCAUCUGCCCAGCAAUCGAAUCUGAGAAUCGGACAUACCCUGAUGGACUGCUAAAGUAGCACCACCUAUGCGGAAGCUGUGUCCCUUAUAAUAAGUACUGUCUAAAUCACAAAAUUUCAAACAUUUUCUAACUACCAUGUCAAAAUGUUUACGGGGUAUGGGUUUUUUAUUUUGAUCCAGGAACAGACAGCCUGACUGGGCGCCUCUCUUCGGAAGGUAGUCUAGCAUAGCUUGAACAGGACAUAUAGAUGAAGUUACGACUGUAUUCAAGGUGAUAGUAUGUGCCUUCUGAGAACUGUUGUGUUUAAAAUGUCGAAAACAGACUUGCAUACUAGAAGGUUUGCUAUUUUGGUAAACAAUAUUAACAUCAGACACUUGAAGAACAUUGUCAGACUUAUCCUGUGCAGUCAUAACCAGCUCUCCCACUCUAGCUAAACCAUAGAAGGCUAAAGAAAAAAUUGCCUUGUACAAAAGUUGAUUAUACUGCAUUGGGUAUACAUACUGUAGAGAAUGUACCAGUUUUUGCAGAAUUGGUUUGGUGAUAGGAAGACGGGCAUCAUACUGAGGCAUCAAGCGAGCAGCACCCGCUACUGCUUUUCUUACCACGAAUGCUUUAGUUGGGUCAUGGGUAUUGUAACCACUAAUAUUAUGGAAAUAUGCUAUGGCAGAUAAGUUGGAAGUGAUGGUACUUGCAGAAAACCCUUUCUCAUGUAGAGAUGCUACAUACAAUGCUAUAGUGGCAUAGGACAAAGGUAGCGUGACUGUUUGAUGUAAAACAGAAUUACAAAAUGUACUCAAAUC